GGGCCAGACUCCUACGGGAGGCAGCAGUGAGGAAUAUUGGUCAAUGGCCGGAAGGCUGAACCAGCCAAGCCGCGUGAAGGACGAAGGUGCCAAGCAUUGUAAACUUCUUUUGUCAAGGGACAAAAUCAGGCUCGAGAGCCUGACCGAGGGUACUUGAAGAAAAGGCAUCGGCUAACUCCGUGCCAGCAGCCGCGGUAAUACGUAGGUGGCAAGCGUUAUCCGGAUUUAUUGGGUGUAAAGGGCGUGUAGGCGGGAGCGCAAGUCAGAUGUGAAAACUCAGGGCUCAACCCUGAGCCUGCAUUUGAAACUGUGUUUCUUGAGUGCUGGAGAGGCAAUCGGAAUUCCGUGUGUAGCGGUGAAAUGCGUAGAUAUACGGAGGAACACCAGUGGCGAAGGCGGAUUGCUGGACAGUAACUGACGCUGAGGCGCGAAAGCGUGGGGAGCAAACAGGAUUAGAUACCCUAGUA
rnacentral:rRNA from 1 species